rnacentral:piRNA from 1 species
UGUGAGAGAGAGAAUGAGCUGAGGG